rnacentral:tRNA from 1 species
GGCCCCAUCGUCUAGUGGUCAGGACAUCAGGUUCUCAACCUGGAAACCCGGGUUCGACUCCCGGUGGGGUCACCA